rnacentral:misc_RNA from 1 species
GACAGAGGGUGCAAACGUUGCUCGGAAUCACUGGGCGUAAAGCGCGUGUAGGCGGGCAUGCAAGUCGGGUGUGAAAUCCCUGGGCUCAACCCAGGAACUGCAUCCGAAACUGCAUGUCUAGAGUGUCGGAGAGGGAAGCGGAAUUCCUGGUGUAGAGGUGAAAUUCGUAGAUAUCAGGAGGAACACCGGUGGCGAAGGCGGCUUCCUGGACGAUGACUGACGCUGAGACGCGAAAGCGUGGGGAGCAAACAGG